CACAACUGGUCGCAAAUCCUUUGUGAGGAUGCUAGAACAAAAGCGUGCUGAAAAUGCAAAUUUGGUGGACUUCUACAAGGAAACCCACUGGUCCAAGAAGAAAGAUAAAUUUGUGACACCUGCUACCGAAGACAUUUAUAAGGAUAUGGUAGGAAAGCUGGAUAA